rnacentral:ncRNA from 1 species
UGGAUGUGGUGGGCGCAUUCAUGACGGUAUGCCUCAUUUGAAAUUUCUAGGAGGAUUGACAGAUUGAGAGCUCUUUCUUGAUCUGGUGGGUGGUGGUGCAUGUCCGUUCUUAGUUGGUGGAGUGAUUUGUCUGGUUAAUUCCGAUAACGAACGAGACUCUAGCCUAUUAAAUAAGUGCGCGGUUCUCUGUACCUUGCACCCUUCUCAGAGGGACAAGUGGCUCCUAGCCGCACGAGCCAGAGCAAUAACAGGUCUGUGAUGCCCUUAGAUGUCCGGGGCCCGCACACGCGCUACACUGAAGGAAGCCGCGUGUUUUUAUCCCUGUCUAU